UAUGAAAAAACGGAAAGUAAGAACUUUUUACCUACCGACCGUCUCUAGAGCAAGUGGUAAGGAAUUUGGUGGUUGGUAUCCGAGGCUCAAGUUUGAAUCCUAGUUGAUUCAUAUUUCUAGAUAAGUUUAUUUUUAAAUGAAAUAAACGAAACGGAUAGCGUGUUACGUAUCAGUCAAAAGAAAAAAAGAAAACUUUUUACUUAAAUGUAUUUUUUAAAAAGACUAAAUUACUCCUGUAUUAUUUUAAAAAUUCUUAACCCUAUCUUC
rnacentral:lncRNA from 1 species